CCUACGGGAGGCAGCAGUGGGGAAUUUUGGACAAUGGGCGAAAGCCUGAUCCAGCAAUGCCGCGUGUGUGAAGAAGGCCUUCGGGUUGUAAAGCACUUUUGUCCGGAAAGAAAUGGCUCUGGUUAAUACCUGGGGUCGAUGACGGUACCGGAAGAAUAAGGACCGGCUAACUCCGUGCCAGCAGCCGCGGUAAUACGGAGGGAGCUAGCGUUGUUCGGAAUUACUGGGCGUAAAGCGCACGUAGGCGGCUUUGUAAGUCAGGGGUGAAAGCCUGGAGCUCAACUCCAGAACUGCCUUUGAGACUGCAUCGCUUGAAUCCGGGAGAGGUGAGUGGAAUUCCGAGUGUAGAGGUGAAAUUCGUAGAUAUUCGGAAGAAUACCAGUGGCGAAGGCGGCUCACUGGACCGGUAUUGACSCUGAGGUGCGAAAGCGUGGGGAGCAAACAGGAUUARAUACCCUGGUAGUCCACGCCGUAWACGAUGAUAACUASCUGUCCGGGCACUUGGUGCUUGGGKGGCGCAGCUWWCGCAUUWWGUUAUCCGCCYGGGGAGUACGGCCGCAAGGUUAAAACUCAAAUGAAUUGACGGGG
rnacentral:rRNA from 1 species